GAGUGUUAUGGCUCUUUUAGAAUUUGUCUAGCAGGUUUUCUGCUCUUUACCAGAAAAGUCUCC
ensembl:snRNA U7 U7 small nuclear RNA